CGACCCAAGGCCACCAAAUUCCACGGCGAUCAGGACGGAGCAGCACCGCACCGUACGCACGGAAUCGCCGCCGCGUCGCAUGGCCAACCACGGCGACCUCUCCCCGCCGGCCGACGUCGACUCCCAGGAGCUGAUUCCCUGCAUUUUCUUGACCUCUUUCCCUGUCAGGGGAAGAUUCAAUACCAAGAUUUAUGAUUUGGACAUACAAGUGAGUUUAAUUCCUGACAGUUUUUCUUGCUCCCCCCUCAUUUUAUUUCCAUUUCCUAGCAGUUCUAGGAUAUAGAGUGAAAAAAGCACCACAAUGCAAGUGUCAGAUCCUGUUAUUGAUGCAAUUUUGCGACUCUGGUUGAUGUUAAACUGAAGCUCCAAUCAACCCUGUGGCUCUUCUGUACCUGUAUACCUAGAUUAUUUACUGAUGGUAUAUGCACUUGACCUUCCUGUAUAGGAUGAUCAAUUGCCAGGAAUAACCAUGGUUUUGAUCUUUGUCAUUA